UGCAACUAGAGUAAUGUCUGUUGUAAACGGCGGCGUUAACGUGAGCGUCCUAAGGUAGCGCGAUAAUUUGCUUUUCAAUUGAAGGAUGGUAUGAAAGGGUUAACGAAGAAGGUGCUGUGUCUAAAAAUUCAAUUUAAACUAACUUUAAGGUGAAGAGGCCUUUAUGUAAAAGAAGGACGACAAGACCCUAUGAAGCUUUAUCUUAAUUGGAGCUUUCAGGCUCUUAUACGAUUUUGAUGGGAGAUCAGUAGAAAUAAGUCUUCUACUAUCAUAUUAAUCUUACUAGUAUUUCCUAACUUUAUAUGUGUGGCUAGCUACUCUAGGGAUAACAGCGCAAUUUCUCCCGAAAGAUGGUAUUGGAGGGGAAGAUUGCGACCUCGAUGUUGGCUUUAGAUAUCCUAGA
rnacentral:rRNA from 1 species